rnacentral:lncRNA from 1 species
CAUAGCAAGACCCUGUCUCUACAAAAAAUUAAAAAUAUAUCUUUUUUUCAGUUUAUUGUUUACUGUUUGAAUAUUGAAAAUUCUUACUAUAGAACUAUAAUAGUCUUGAGAAGUUGCAACUGUUAUGCAUACCCACACUCAAACUAUUUCAUACAAAUAAGGUUCUAGCUUUAAUUUUAAAUGCCUCGAGGCAAACAGCACAGUCUUUUUCUGGCUCAAAUAGAUCCAAUUACCUCUAAUGACCCUGCUACAGUUUAUUGAGUGUCUAUGAUCCAGGUGCUUUUGCUGAAGUCUAAAGUCAUAUUUUAUAUCAUUUUGUGAGAAGUCAUCGACCAAAUGAAUAAAAAUUACUGAGACUUUCCUCCACAUUACUAUUUC